rnacentral:lncRNA from 1 species
AUACUUGUUAUACUUUUAAAUAUGUCAAAAUGCCAUACGCUAAAUAAAAUAAGGUCUAUGAACUGGACAGAUAGAAUUUAAAACCUUUUUUAUACGAGAUUGGCAAUAAAAAAUUUGAGAUCCUCCAACAACAAAAAAGACGCGACGUAAGAGAAACAACGUGUCUCUGUGAUUACUGUGAAUUUCGUAUCAGUCUUAUAAAUAUUAAACGAAAACAACUUGAAAUUUUAUAUCUAAAAGAGUUAUUCUGUCACAGAGGAUCGAUUAAGUAGGGGAACAAGGGGCUUGUUGUAACAGGGGUCACGGCUGACCCGAAAAACUGCAUCUCCUACGUCAGCGAAAAUCCCCAAAAAAGCAGUGCGAAUACCAAACUUGUUUUAGAUAUAACAAGAAGAAUUCGUUGGAAUGUAUUUUACCUGCUGAAGAUGUUAAUCUUUAAUGAGAAGAACCAUAAAUAAGAUUAAUAGGUUUUAUUUACGAAAAUGUUUUUUUUCAGUCGUCAUUUGAUAACUAAUUAUCUUAUAUUACAAGAAGUCUAUAUAAAAAGAGUGGUUUACAUGAAUCUCAAUGAAAGAUACCUGAAAUAUUGUUAUUGUAAAGGAAGAAAUAAUAAAAGCAAUCAUACAAUCAAUAAUGGUCAUUUUUCAUUCCUUCGAUAUUUUUCAAUUAAAUAAACAUUUGUUAAAUAUUUGCUUUAUAUCUUUCAUUGAGGUCGAAUAAGAGCGUGUUUUAGCAGUUCUGCUUUCUUUUUAGCGCAUUUCUUAUUUCGUUUUUAUAUAUAUUUGCAACUUGUGUUUGUCUGUCUCUUAUUUCAUAGAUUGGGAGAUUAGGUAGAUAUAUUCACUAAUCAACCAUUAUGAUUAGUAAAUUCAAAUUGAAUUUAUUUUCCUCACGUUUAAUAUUUAAAAAUUAAAAUAAAAUAUUGAUAAUUCAUGUUAUUUAAACCUGUCUUAGUGAAACCUGUCUUCAUCAAACAAAUUAACCAGUUAUCCUUUUAAUAAACAAUUUUAAUAU